rnacentral:rRNA from 1 species
AUGCACCAGUCACCGAUGAUGCUUGCUAAAAUUCCACAUGUUGUGGUGGCGACGACGAACUUGCCUACAUGUGCACAGAGACAUCUUCUAGCCCCUUGUCAAGGCAAGGAGCAGACUGAUUUUUGUGUACAACCUGGCUUCUUCUUGAAAGGGUUUGCGUUCAGUUUAUGGCUGGUUGUUGGGGUGUUGGAUGAUGCGCAGGCAUGGGUCACCAAUGCUUUCUAUGAUCCAUGGAACGGUAAUGACUGCCUAAUUCACAAGGGAUGGAUUUUGAUUGUUAAUAUAAUUCAGUACUGUAUCCAAACUUUUCUGAAUCAGUUAUCCGUGUAA